GGAAGGUAUAGCUCAGUGGCAGAGCACAUGCUUAGCAUGCAUGAGGUCCUGGGUUCAAUCCCCAGUACCUCCA
rnacentral:tRNA from 1 species